rnacentral:rRNA from 1 species
UACGGAGGGUGCGAGCGUUGUCCGGAAUCACUGGGCGUAAAGGGCGCGUAGGCGGUGUGUCACGUCGGCCGUGAAAACCUGCAGCUUAACUGUGGGCGUGCGGUCGAUACGGGCAUCACUGGAGUUCGGCAGGGGAGACUGGAAUUCCUGGUGUAGCGGUGAAAUGCGCAGAUAUCAGGAGGAACACCGGUGGCGAAGGCGGGUCUCUGGGCCGAUACUGACGCUGAGGAGCGAAAGCGUGGGGAGCGAACAGG